AGUGAACGCUGGCGGUAGGCCUAACACAUGCAAGUCGAACGGCAGCACAGUAAGAGCUUGCUCUUACGGUUGGCGAGUGGCGGACGGGUGAUGAAUACAUCGGAAUCUACUUUUUCGUGGGGGAUAACGUAGGGAAACUUACGCUAAUACCGCAUACGACCUACGGGUGAAAGCAGGGGAGCUUCGGACCUUGCGCGAUUGAAUGAGCCGAUGUCGGAUUAGCUAGUUGGCGGGGUAAAGGCCCACCAAGGCGACGAUCCGUAGCUGGUCUGAGAGGAUGAUCAGCCACACUGGAACUGAGACACGGUCCAGACUCCUACGGGAGGCAGAAGUGGGGAAUAUUGGACAAUGGGCGCAAGCCUGAUCCAGCCAUACCGCGUGGGUGAAGAAGGCCUUCGGGUUGUAAAGCCCUUUUGUUGGGAAAGAAAAGCAGCAGGUUAAUACCACGCUGUUCUGACGGUACCCAAAGAAUAAGCACCGGCUAACUUCGUG
rnacentral:rRNA from 1 species